rnacentral:rRNA from 1 species
AUGGCGAAGACGAAGCCGACGGCAGCCGGUGCGGCCGCGGCGGACAAGAAGCAUAAUAACAAGAAGAAAGGCAAGGGCAACAUCAAGGGGAGGAACGGCCCGGCGGCCGUGGCCAUGAAGGCGCGCGGGGCCGGGGCCGCGGCGGCGGAGCGGAGCAACCCCUUCGAGGCCAUCUGGUCGCGCCGCAAGUUCGACGUGCUCGGCAAGAAGCGCAAGGGCGAGGAGAGGCGCACCUCCCGCUCCCGCUCCGACGCUAUCCACAAGAGGGAGAACACCCUGCUCAAGGAGUUCGAGCAGAGCGCCAAGUCGUCGGUCUUCCAUGACCGGCGCAUCGGCGAGAGGGACGAGACUCUGCCCGAGUACGACAAGGCCAUCCUCCGUCAGCAGCGAGAGCACAUGGCGAAGUUGAAACGAGCAAGCAAAUUCAAUCUGUCCGAUGAGGAGGAUGACGAGGAUUCUCACACGCUUUUGGGAAAUGAUGAUUUCAAUGAAGAGGUGCCUAUUGGUGACGACAGUGAUGAAGAAGGUAACACGCUCUCAAAGAAGCGCCUAUCUCUCCAAAGUAGUGAUCUCCCUUCAGAAACUGACCUACCUGGAGAAACACAUGGUCACAAGAGCAAAAAGGAAGUUAUGUCAGAGAUCAUUUUGAAGAGUAAAUUUUACAAGGCCCAAAAAGCCAAGGAAAAGGAAGAGGAUGAACAUCUUGUUGACAAGUUAGAUAGUGAUUUUGCAUUGCUGGCCCAGACGCCAGCACUUCUAUCCCUGACCGAGUCAGCUAGAGUGAACACACAUAAAAACAAUUCAAGUACAAUCCAUAAAGGUUCAUCUGGUCUGACCGGAAAGGAGAUUUUCAAUAAGGAAAAGCCAGAUGCAUACGACAAACUGGUGAAAGAAAUGGUGAUGGAUCAACGUGCUCGCCCGUCAGACAGGACAAAAACCCCAGAAGAACUAGCUCAGGAAGAAAAAGAACGUCUUGAGAAGUUGGAGAAGGAACGUCACAAGCGGAUGCUUGGAACUGCUGAGUCCUCUGAUGAAGAAGAUGAUGAUAGCGAGGAUGGUGAUCAUCAUAUGAGGGCGGAUAACUCAAAACCUAUAUCUGGCGAUGAUCUUGGUGAUUCCUUCUCUUUUGACGAGCCAGCAAAAAGGAAAAAAGGUUGGGUUGAUGCAAUUUAUGAGAAUGAGGGUAGAAAGAUAGGUGAAGGUGUAGCAUCUGGCGAUGAAGGAAGUGAUGACAGCGGUGAAGAUGAGGAUGAGGAUGAAGAAGAAGAUGCUGGCGAUGAAGAGGAUUCUAGUGAUAAUGACUUCCGUAAUAUGCCGGCAAGGGACUGGGAGCAAAGCGACGACGAUGAGGUUGCUGUAGAAGAAGAUGAAAAGGAUGAUGUCAAAGAUAAAGAACAAGUUAUUGGGGAAAAAGUUUUGAAAACAAAUGCACAAAAUUUGAAGAGAGUAUCUAAUGCGAAGCAAAAACCACCUGGCAAGGAUGAAGACCUACCUUUUGUGAUAGAAGCACCAAACAACUUACAAGAUCUAUGCUCCUUGGUCGAUGGUCGCUCAGAAACUGAAAUAGCUGAGAUUAUAAGCCGGAUACGUACUUGCAAUUCAAUAAGGCUCACACCUGAAAACAGAAAGAAAAUGCAAGUUUUCUAUGGUGUUCUCCUGCAGUAUUUUGCAGUUUUAGCUACUCAAAGUCCAGUGAAGUUUAAAGUAAUUGAGACCCUUGUUAAACCCUUAGUUGAGAUGAGUGGAGAGACACCAUAUUUUGCUGCAAUAUGUGCUAGGGAACGACUUACUCGUACACGUGCUCGUCUAUGUGAAGACAUCAAAGUUCCAGGAAAAAGCAGCUUGCCUAGUUUGAAGACAUUACUUCUACUGAGGUUAUGGUCUCUUAUAUUCCCCUGCUCCGACUUCCGGCAUGCUGUCGCAACUCCAAUGCUUCUGCUUAUGUGCGAAUAUCUGAUGCGAUGCCCUAUACAGUCUGGCCGAGAUGCAGCUGUUGGUUCUUUCUUGUGCUCCAUGGUGCUUGCGGCUACUAAAGAAUCGAAAAAGUUCUGCCCUGAAGCUAUCAGUUUUCUGCAAACUCUUUUGGUAACAUCACUUAAAGGAGAAGUGAGCAAUCAGAUCAAUGACCAGUUUAUGGAGCUCAAGACAUUGAAACCAUGGCUUCAUAUCAGUGAGCAAGUGCAUGAGGUGAAUCGUAUGAAUAUCCUCGACCUAAUGAGCAUGGAUCCUGAUUCCCCAUUCUUCGCAUCAGAUAAUUUCAAGGCUGGUGUACUUCUGUCUGUGGCUGAAUGUUUGAGGGGCUUUGUAAUUAUACAUGAAGGGCUCUGCUCUUUUCCAGAAAUUUUCAUGCCAGUUUCUUCUCUGCUGCAACAAAUUAUGGAAAAAUCCGAGUUGCCUGCCCUGUUACAAGAAAUUUUCCAAGAUGUCAUCGACUUGAUUAAGAAGAGAAGUGACGAACACCAUGCUUCAAGAGAGCCACUCCAAAUGCGGAAGCAGAAGCCUGAACCAAUCAAGCAGCUGAAUCCCAAAUUUGAGGAGAAUUACGUAAAGGGUCUUGAUUACGAUCCUGACCGAGAAAGGGCACGCCUGAAGAAGCUGGCGAAACAAGUGAAGAGCGAGAAGAGAGGUGCGAUGUCCGAGCUUCGCAAAGAUAGUUAUUUCAUGGCUGCUGUGAAACAGAAGGAGAGGGCGAGACACGAGCAAGAGAGGUCUGAAAAGUAUGGCAAAGCAAUGGCUUUUCUUCAAGAACAAGAAAGCGCUUUUAAAUGCGGGCAGAUGGGAAAAGGCAAAAAAAGGAGGAGGUGA